UACGUAGGGUGCAAGCGUUGUCCGGAAUUAUUGGGCGUAAAGAGCUCGUAGGCGGUCUGUCGCGUCUGCUGUGAAAACUCAGGGCUUAACCCUGAGCUUGCAGUGGGUACGGGCAGACUAGAGUGCGGUAGGGGAGACUGGAAUUCCUGGUGUAGCGGUGAAAUGCGCAGAUAUCAGGAGGAACACCGGUGGCGAAGGCGGGUCUCUGGGCCGGAACUGACGCUGAGGUGCGAAAGCGUGGGGAGCAAACAGG
rnacentral:rRNA from 1 species